AAAAAAUUAAAUAAAUAACUUUAGUAUGUCAAACUAAUAUUAUCAAUAUUAUUGAUAUUUUUUG
rnacentral:tRNA from 1 species